GCUGGGCACAGUGGCUCAUAUCUGUAAUCCCAGCACUUUAGGAGGCCAAGGCAGGUGGAUCGCUUGAGCUCAGGAGUUUAAGAUGAGCCUGGGAAACAUGGUGAAAUGCUGUCUCUACAAAAUAUACAAAACUUAGCUGGGGGUGGUGGUGCGCGCAUGUAGUCCCAGCUACUUGGGGGCUGAGGCAGGAAGAUCACUUGAGCCCAGAAGGUUGAGGCUGCAGUGAGCCAUGUUCGUGCCACUGCACUCCAGCCUGAGCAACAAAGUGAGACCCUGUCUCCU
rnacentral:sRNA from 1 species